rnacentral:lncRNA from 1 species
UGAUCUCAUUCGUGUACGUAAUUUCUGGACCCACACAAUAAAAAAAUUAUAUUAUAUACCAAAUUAAUUACAUAAUUAUUUGUUGUAUGUUGUAUUUAAUUUAUCAUUGUUGACAUGCCAUGCAAAAUAAUUAGUGGAACGUGUGUCUCCGUUUGUAUAUGAAUUAUAUAUGUGGGUCGAUCGGUGUAUAUUUUUCAUACGGAUGUAAUUGUUUUGUUAAUAAUUUAUUUUGUGUAAGAAUAAGAAAGAAGCUUUGUCGUCCUUUCUUAGAGCCAGUGUUGAAAUUAGUGCAAUAGAGACGUGACUUUGGGUAUUGAAAUGAUUAGCCUCUUUUGUUUUUUUUUAAAAGAAAGCCUUGAUGACGGAACUUAAUUCAUU